GGGUCGCUAGCUCAUCAGGUAGAGCACCGGCUUUUUAAGCCGGGUGUGCGGAGUUCGAGCCUCCGGCGACCCA
rnacentral:tRNA from 1 species